rnacentral:rRNA from 1 species
AGAGUUUGAUCAUGGCUCAGAAUCAACGCUGGCGGCGUGCCUAACACAUGCAAGUCGCGCGCGAAAGGGGGGCAACCCCCAAGUAGAGCGGCGAACGGGUGAGUAACGCGUGGGUGAUCUUCCUUCGAGUGGGGAAUAACACCGGGAAACUGGUGCUAAUACCGCAUGACAUCCCUGGUUCAUUCCAGGGAUCAAAGCCGGGGACCGCAAGGCCUGGCGCUUGAAGAUGAGCCCGCGUCCGAUUAGCUAGUUGGCGGGGUAACGGCCCACCAAGGCUCCGAUCGGUAGCCGGCCUGAGAGGGCGGACGGCCACACUGGGACUGAGACACGGCCCAGACUCCUACGGGAGGCAGCAGUGGGGAAUUUUUCGCAAUGGGGGAAACCCUGACGAAGCAACGCCGCAUGGAGGAUGAAGGCCUUCGGGUCGUAAACUCCUGUCGACUGGGAAGAAUGCACCUGACCUAAUACGUCGGCGUGUUGACUGUACCGGUGGAGGAAGCCACGGCUAACUCUGUGCCAGCAGCCGCGGUAAUACAGAGGUGGCAAGCGUUGUUCGGAAUUACUGGGCGUAAAGGGCGCGUAGGCGGCCCGUUAAGUCCCGUGUGAAAGCCCCCGGCUCAACCGGGGAACGGCGCGGGAAACUGGCAGGCUUGAGUUCGGGAGAGGGAAGCGGAAUUUCGGGUGUAGCGGUGAAAUGCGCA